CCCCCUGUGGGGCGAAAACAGUCUUGGUUACACAAGCCAGAAUUCGUGAUUACAGGCGUGUUCUCCGGAGGGCACAAAGGCUUAAGGUGUGUCAGGGCCCAGCUCUGAAGCCAGUGAGCUGGAUAAAUCAUACUAAUUAGCUCAUUUUGCUACUUGCACUGGGCGCAGAGAGCAACACAAGACAUUAAGAACUGUCUGGCUCCAGGAAAGCUGCAGGCCUGCCACCUGGCUGUCCCUCCCGCCAACUUUUAAGCAUCCACCACAACCUUUCAAGCCCACCUCCACAGCUCUAAAGUCCAGAGAUCUGUCUGGUGUUUGAGGACCACCAAAGUGCUCAUGACUCGGAAUCCUUUGGCCAAUAUCAAAUUGUACAGUGGUGUUGGGCUUGCAGGGAUUCCCUAGAAAAACGUGUGGCCACAGUUUUGAGCAGGGACCUGGAAUGAGAAAGUGGCCUGGCAAAACUUGAGUUUGCCCCAGAAAACAAUACGACAGAGACCUGGAGAAGACAGCAAUGAUGACCAGCAGGAGAUUAGUAAUCAAUAAGGAAUGAAAAUAAGGGGAGAUAGAAGCGUGGUACAGAGCAGAGAAUUUUAGCAACAUGAGGACUAGCAGCUUGAUGGAGAGCAGCAGAGUUUAGCCCAAACAGAUCGUGCGAGAAGAGUGUGGAUGGAAAGGUAAAGUGGGAAUGACCUCAGAGGCAAAGAAGAUGCUGAGAGAGCCAGCCGCGUGGGAGGAGAACAGGCCCAGGAUGGAGAACGUUACCCGUGCAGAAUCGUUGAGAUCUGUGAUGAGGAGGAAGGCCAACGUUAAAAAGGGAAGGAAUGCAAAGAUGUGACCUAUGCUGGGGGGAGGAAAGGGUUGAACAGGCCAGGUCCGGUCCUAAGCCCUCUGAAACCGAAAAGGGAUAUCAAUCUAUUCAUUCAUUCAUUCGAUUUCCAUACCGCCCUUCCAAAAAUGGCUCAGGGCGGUUUACACAGAGAAAUAAUAAAUAAAUAAUUUGUGUUGAAAUGUAUAGAUUUCUACUGGGAAAUAUCCAGUUCAGAGCACAAAUUCAUUAGAAUAUUACUGAUAAUCUAUACGCAUAACUAUUUGUGCAUCCUCAGGGGUGCUGAAGAGAACUGAGUAUUAUUAGACUUUUGUAUAAUUGAGGGCCAAUGACCGAAAGCAGCAAGGUUACCGUUUAUGUUGUAAAUUUAAUCUGAUUCAAAACUGUGUUCUGGUUUAAGGAAAUAUUUAAUUUCAAUCAUAUUGUAUUUGUUACUAGAUUCAUUUCAAUAGUUGGUUUAGGGAAUUGUGCAGCCAUGGGUGGGAGUUCUAGUGUCCAACAAGCCUGAACCCGCCUGCUCCUUAAGAGGAGCGGGGGGUUACUCUAGCACGUGUGAAAUGUUCCCAGCCCGUUUCCACAGGACAGCCUUACAUUCUUCCAGCCCCAGCAAGAUGAGGGAGGCGAUGCCCGUCAGCGUGGUGGUGAGCAGAAGGAUCCCACGGCGGCCAUACCGGUCCACGCUCAGGCACAGGAAGAGGCAGGCCAGGCCUGCACUGCCGGUCGACAGCAGGUACAAGAGGUAGAACUUGCUGGCCAAGGUUUUCCUGUGCCUCCAGGACCUCACAGCUGUCCCAACGUUUCCCCGCAGAAGAGGCAAACAUGAGGAGGGAGACCACUAAAGAGGCUAGUUGCUUCCGCUUGAAAAAAACCUUAAUGCACUUGAACUCUUUUACUCUUCUCACUGAGAAGAAAUUACAACUUCAGCGGGAAAAGGAAUACGGAGAAGAAUUGAAACAGAUUUUGGAAAAUGAAAUCUUAAGGGAAUCCUCAUCCAGAUUUGGUUGCCAAAGUUCCAAUUUGUAUUGUCUGAAUUCAAAGGACCACUUAAAGACGCUGUUAGUUUUUUUAGUGGAGGGAGGAAGGGUUUGCUUGUUUUACAUCAAGGUGUAUAUUGAAUUUGGUCAGUUGAUACAUCAUUGUCUUAAUUUUUAUCAACAAAAUUUAGGAUUUCAUUGUUUGAAGUAUCUCUCAAAAAAGAGUGAAAUCUGAAAAUAUUCAAAAAGUUACAUUCUGAAGAAAGAUGUAUUAUUCUUGGUGAAAUGUGUCCUUUACUUUUUUUGUAAAAGGCAAAAUCUAGGUGAUCAGAAAAAUCCCAAAGGAAGAUAAAAUUUAAAUAAUGUUGUACUAAAUUCUAAAGUACAAACAUGAUCAGACUACAUUUCCUUUUUAAGAAUGAUGGUCAACCACUAGCAUUAAAGAGAAUGAUUAGAUUAAAAAUCUCCAAGGAAGUCCUACUACUUUGCAUAUAAUUUCUUGCAAAGUUUGACUUUAGCUUUCCCAGACUAUUGACAUCCCCUCCUCUUAAUUAAAUGCAUUUACUUCCUUGAAUCCCUCCUCAGAAUCCACUUUUCCCAUUAAGCCUUUGACUGUCAGUGACAUUAGGACAGGGUUUCUCAAACUUGGGUCCCCAGAUGUUGCCCAUCAACCCCAACCACAACAGCCAAUUAGAAAGAUGGAAGUGAUAGUCCAACAACAUCUGGAGACCCAAUUUUGAAAACCCCUGUUCUAUCAUAACAAAGCUGCUGUGUGUAUAACUGAAAUAAUAACAUACCAUUCCCCUGCUUUUUCUCUCCCUUAUGUUGAUUUCCAGAUUGUAAACUCCUUGGGGCAGGUUGCUGUCCUCUCAAUCUUUAUAAAGUUCCAUGUGCAUGGAUUGUGACCCAUAAAUAAAUGAACAGCACUCCUUUUCUUUUCCUAA